rnacentral:misc_RNA from 1 species
GAUGAAGAACGUAGCGAAAUGCGAUAAGUAAUGUGAAUUGCAGAAUUCAGUGAAUCAUCGAAUCUUUGAACGCACAUUGCGCCCGCCAGUAUUCUGGCGGGCAUGCCUGUUCGAGCGUCAUUUCAACCCUCAAGCCCCCGGGCUUGGUGUUGGGGAUCGGCGUGCCCUCGCGGCGCGCCGUCCCCUAAAUCUAGUGGCGGUCUCGCUGUAGCCUCCAUUGCGUAGUAGCUAACACCUCGCAACUGGAACGCGGCGCGGCCAUGCCGUAAAACCCCAACUUCUGAAUGUUGACCUCGGAUCAGGUAGGAAUACCCGCUGAACUUAAGCAUAUCAAUAAGCGGAGGA